GCGUUGUCCGGAAUUAUUGGGCGUAAAGAGCUCGUAGGCGGCUUGUCACGUCGACCGGGAAAUCCCGAGGCUCAACCUCGGGCCUGCGGUCGAUACGGGCAGACUAGAGUUCGGUAGGGGAGACUGGAAUUCCUGGUGUAGCGGUGAAAUGCGCAGAUAUCAGGAGGAACACCGGUGGCGAAGGCGGGUCUCUGGGCCGAAACUGACGCUGAGGAGCGAAAGCGUG
rnacentral:rRNA from 1 species